AGAGUUUGAUCCUGGCUCAGGAUGAACGCUGGCGGCGUGCCUAAUACAUGCAAGUUGUGCGGUAACAGAGAGAGCUUGCUCUCUGCUGACGAGCGGCGGACGGCAGAGUAACGCGUAGGAACAUACCCCAAACUGAGGGAUAACUGCUCGAAAGAGUAGCUAAUACCGCAUGUGGUCUUCGGAUUAAAGCUUCGGCGGUUUGGGAGUGGCCUGCGUCCGAUUAGCUAGUUGGUGAGGUAAUUGCUCACCAAGGCGACGAUCGGUAGCUGGUCUGAGAGGAUGAUCAGCCUGACUGGAACUGAGAACGGUCCAGACUCCUACGGGAGGCAGCAGUAGGGAAUUUUCCACAAUGGGCGAAAGCCUGAUGGAGCAACGCCGCGUGCAGGAUGAAUGCCUUCGGGUUGUAAACUGCUUUCUGUGUGAAGAAUAUGACGGUAACACAGGAAUAAGGGUCGGCUAACUACGUG
rnacentral:rRNA from 1 species